rnacentral:ncRNA from 2 species
AACUUAUCAAGAGUGGUGGAGGGACUGGCCCAAUGAAACCCGGCAACCAGUAUAUACUAUGUUUUAGUGUAUACAAUGGUGCUAAUUCCUGCAGCAUAAGCUGGAAGAUAAGGA